rnacentral:lncRNA from 1 species
GGUUUGGGGUUUGGGGUUUGGGGUUUAGGGUUUAUUGUUUCGGGUUUCGGGUUUGGGGUUUGGGGUUUGGGGUUUGGAGGUUUCAGAUUUUUGGUAUUUAAACAUAAUACUCGUUAAUUCCAAGUAAGCACAAAUCGUCAUAAAGACCACGUAAAAGGAUUUAAACAUAGCACUCGUUAAUUCCACGUAAGUUGAAAUCGUCGUAAAUACCACGUAAAAGGAUUUAAACAUAACACUCGUUAAUUCCACGUAAUUAGAAAUCGUCGUAAAUACGUCGUAGUGUAAAAACUAGAAAAAAAAAGGGAAAAUGAUAAAAAUACUAGAUUAACAUGUGGCAAGACUUCCAGCAAUUAUAAUACGUAAGUCUCGCCCAUAUGAAUUCUAAUAUCUUAUCCUUUUUCUAUUUUUUCAAAUAUUUAUAAUUUGAAUAGGAUUUUACUAAGGAAUGUGAUUUCAGAUAGGGUGUGAUUUGGGAGUUUGUGUGUGGUUUGAGAAUGAGAGUUGUGGGUAUAUUUAUAGGAAAGCAAUGCUCGUUAAUUCCACGUAAGCAAAAUCGUCGUUAAUACCUCGUAUAUAAAAACACGGGCCUUUGCGAUUCCUCGUAAUUUCCUUGUACUGAAAAACACGGGCCUUUGUAACUGCUCGCUAUUUCGUCGUAACCUUAC